GAUGAACGCUAGCUACAGGCUUAACACAUGCAAGUCGAGGGGUACCAAGAGAAAAGCUUGCUUUUCUUGUUGACGACCGGCGCACGGGUGAGUAACGCGUAUCCAACCUGCCUAUAACUAGGGAAUAACCUUGCGAAAGUAAGACUAAUACCAUAUGAUUUCCUUUGAUGACAUCAGAUUAGGAAUCAAGAUUUAUCGGUUAUAGAUGGGGAUGCGUCUGAUUAGCUUGUUGGCGGGGUAACGGCCCACCAAGGCAACGAUCAGUAGGGGUUGGGAGAGGAGGGUCCCCCACAUUGGGAGUGUGACACGGACCAAGAGCCUACGAGAGGGAGCAGUGAGCAACAUUGGUCAAUGGGCGGAAGCAUGACCCAACCAAGUAGCGUGCAGGAUGACGGCCCUAUGGGUUGUAAACUGCUUUUAUAGUAGAAUAAAGUGGCCCACGUGUGGGUUUUUGUAGGUAUACUAUGAAGAAGGAUCGGCUAACUCCGUGCCAGCCGCCGCGGUAACAC
rnacentral:rRNA from 1 species